ncrna:unclassified sequences int-alpA RNA
AUCAGGGCUAGGCCGACGGGCCGAAAAGGGAGGUGCCACCUUACUCCCCUGCCCUGAGUCAGCAUAAAGGUGG